CGGGGACAGUGUCAGGCGGGCAGUUUGACUGGGGCGGUCGCCUCCUAAAGAGUAACGGAGGCGCCCCAAGGUUCCCUCAGAAUGGUUGGAAAUCAUUCGCAGAGUGCAAAGGCAAAAGGGAGCUUGACUGCGAGACUGACAAGUCGAGCAGGGACGAAAGUCGGGCUUAGUGAUCCGGUGGUACCGCAUGGAAGGGCCAUCGCUCAACGGAUAAAAGCUACCCUGGGGAUAACAGGCUUAUCUCCCCCAAGAGUCCACAUCGACGGGGAGGUUUGGCACCUCGAUGUCGGCUCAUCGCAUCCUGGGGCUGAAGUAGGUCCCAAGGGUUGGGCUGUUCGCCCAUUAAAGCGGUACGCGAGCUGGGUUCAGAACGUCGUGAGACAGUUCGGUCCCUAUCUGUCGUGGGCGUAGGAAAUUUGAGAGGAGCUGUCCUUAGUACGAGAGGACCGGGAUGGACGCACCGCUGGUGCACCAGUUGUUCCGCCAGGAGCACAGCUGGGUAGCUAAGUGCGGACGGGAUAAGCGCUGAAAGCAUCUAAGCGUGAAGCCCCCCUCAAGAUGAGAUUUCCCAACUAGUAAGACCCCUUGAAGACGACGAGGUUGAUAGGCCUGAGGUGGAAGUGCAGCAAUGUAUGGAGCUGACAGGUACUAAUCGGUCGAGGGCUUAUCCAAAA
rnacentral:rRNA from 1 species